ACUAUGAUGAGGCCGGGUGAGCGCACAGUGGGACACUAUGAUGAGGCCAGGUGAGUGCACACUGGGACACUAUGAUGAGGCUAGGUGAGUGCACACUGGGACACUAUGAUGCGACCAGGUGAAUGCACACUGGGACAAUAUGAUGAGGCCAGGUGAGUGCACACUGGUGCACUAUGAUGAGGCUAGGUGAGUGCACACUCUGGCAGUAUGAUGAGGCUAGGUGAGUGCACACUGGGGCACUAUGAUGAGGCUAGCUGAGCUGACACUGGGACACUAUGAUGAGGCUAGGUUAGCGCAUAGUGGGACACUAGGAUGAGUCCGCGUGAGUGCACACUGGGACACUAUGAUGGGGCUAGGUGAGCGGACACUGGGACACUAUGAUGAGGCCGGGUGAGCCCACACUGGGGCACUAUGAUGAGGGUAGGUGAGUGCACACUGG
rnacentral:lncRNA from 1 species